rnacentral:tRNA from 1 species
GGCUUUAUAGUCAAUAUAUGAUAUCAGACUGCAAUUCUGAAGUAGUACAUUUAAUACUAAAGCUU